rnacentral:rRNA from 1 species
GAUGAACGCUGGCGGCGUGCCUAAUACAUGCAAGUCGAGCGAACGGACGAGAAGCUUGCUUCUCUGAUGUUAUCGGCGGACGGGUGAUUAACACGUGGAUAACCUACCUAUCAGACUGGGAUAACUUCGGGAAACCGGAUCUAAUACCGGAUAAUAUUUUGAACCGCAUGGUUCACAAGUGAAAGACGGUCUUUCUGUCACUUAUAGAUGGAUCCGCGCUGCAUUAGCUAGUUGGUAAGGUAACGGCUUACCAAGGCAACGAUGCAUAGCCGACCUGAGAGGGUGAUCGGACACACUGGAACUGAGACACGGUCCAGACUCCUACGGGAGGCAGCAGUAGGGAAUCUUACGAAAUGGGGGAAAGCCUGACGGAGCAACGCCGCGUGAGUGAUGAAGGUCUUCGGAUCGUAAAACGCUGUUAUUAGGGAAGAACAUAUGUGUAAGUAACUGUGAAGAUCUUGACGGUACCGAAUCAGAAAGCCACGGCUAACUACGUG